GAUGAACGCUGGCGGCGUGCCUAAUACAUGCAAGUCGAGCGAACAAACGAGGAGCUUGCUCCUCUGACGUUAGCGGCGGACGGGUGAGUAACACGUGGAUAACCUACCUAUAAGACUGGGAUAACUUCGGGAAACCGGAGCUAAUACCGGAUAAUAUAUUGAACCGCAUGGUUCAAUAGUGAAAGACGGUUUUGCUGUCACUUAUAGAUGGAUCCGCGCCGCAUUAGCUAGUUGGUAAGGUAACGGCUUACCAAGGCAACGAUGCGUAGCCGACCUGAGAGGGUGAUCGGCCACACUGGAACUGAGACACGGUCCAGACUCCUACGGGAGGCAGCAGUAGGGAAUCUUCCGCAAUGGGCGAAAGCCUGACGGAGCAACGCCGCGUGAGUGAUGAAGGUCUUCGGAUCGUAAAACUCUGUUAUUAGGGAAGAACAAAUGUGUAAGUAACUAUGCACGUCGUGACGGUACCUAAUCAGAAAGCCACGGCUAACUACGUG
rnacentral:rRNA from 1 species